rnacentral:tRNA from 1 species
GCUGGUUUAGCUCCAAUGGUAGAGCAGUCGCCUUGUAAGCGAAUGGUGGUUCCAAGUCGUUAACCAGCACCA